AAGAAGGAAGCAAUCGGAACUUCUAUGCCAAAUUGCAGAAAACUUUUAUUCUCUCCAUCUUUAGUUGCUUCAAGUUCACAAUUUAAAAAUGAAGUGUGUGCUCCUUUGCAAUAUGCCAAUAGAAGCUCUCCAAAUUUCUCUUCUGAACACUCAUGCCUCCAUCACAUCUCUACUACAGUUAUUCUUUUAUGUGCAAUGAGGGCAAAAGUAAUGAAUAAACGCUUUGGAAGUCCGGAGGUGAAAUGAAUACUUUGACAGAAUGAAGGAGGUUUGAGAGGGUUACACUGCAACUCAGACCACCCACACUGCAAGGACUCACAGCCAGACAUGUCUGGUGACUGUCGUGUUGGAUGACACAAGCCUCAGCAAUCUUGAAAUGUGGCUAGUCUUAAUUGCAAUAUGUGACAGAAGUGAUAAUGUCUCAGUUCUGAGCCUGGACCUCAAGAGGCUUGUGUGCUUCUGUUCUUUCUCUUGGAAACUUUGGAGCCUGAGGACAUUAGUCAUCCCAGUUGACCCUCCAGCUGACCCUGCAGCUGGCCACAGACUUAUGAGUAAGCCCAGCUGAGAUCAUCUGAGUCCAACCCAGCAGAGAAGAACCCACCCAGUUGGACCCAACUAAACCGCCAACUCAAAGAAUCAUGGACUAAAAAAUUAUUGUUGUUUUAAGUUGUAAGUUGUAAAGUGGUUUGUUAAGCAGCAACAGCUAACUGGUACAACAGCCUUCUGUUUGAUUUACUUCCAACCAAGAACAAAAUAAAGAAGUAUGGGUUGUUCUUUCCAGUUUUAGGUAAUUUAUUUACUUUUGUUUCUUUAUAAAUUUGAAGACAAAACCAAUACACUAGCUGGCAAGAUGCAAUGGGAAUGUAUCAACACUGUGACAUUCCUGACCAAAAUUCAAAACCUAAAUCCAAUUAUAUGCAACAUUAGGCAAAUCCAAAUUGAGGGAUAUUCUUCAAAAGUGUCAAGGUUAUAAAAGAAAAGGAAACAUAGAGAAACUAUUACAAUUUGAAUAAGACUAAAGACACAUGAGAAAAUGCAACAUAUAGUUCUAGACUGGAUCCUUUUAUUAUAAAGAGCACUUUUGGGACAAGAGAUAAAAUUUGAGUGAGAAUACAGAGUGGAUGGUAGUGGUGCAUCAGUGUCAAUCUACCAGUUUUGAUGGUUGUAUUGUGAUUAUGUAGGAAAUAUAUUUGUUUAUAGGAAUUAUGUACUACAAUAUUUGCAAGUUUUGGGGCAUUGGAUAGACAACUUAGUCUCAAUGGCUCACUUUUUAAAAAGUUGAAAAGAAAACAAAUAGUUUAGAAAAAAAUCUUAUUGGUAGGGCAGUCCUAACCCUACAAGGUAAUAAAAAACAGGCACUUCCCACUUAAGUCAAUAAGUUGUUCUUGAUAAUCAGAGUUACUGCCCAAAAAGUGCUGCCUGAGAUCCUGUUUCUCCAUUAAUUUAAGUUGGAAAAACUAUAACAUGUAAUCGGUACAUCAACCCAAAACACUCAAAUUUAAUUUCUCAAACAUGGAACCAAAUGCAGCAAAAUGUCUAUAUGUCAGAAGCAUUGUGUUAGUGUAUAAUAUGUUUAAACAUCACUUUCUGAUCAGCAGACAAUAAUAUGGUUAUAAACAAACUUUUGCUUUGUGGGUACCAUCCCAAAUAUACCUUCCUGUGCUGUCGUUCUUGGUGGGCUUUCCAAAAUGGUCUACGCAUUUUGAUAUUGCUGUGAUUAUAAUAUCCUACUAAUUUUAUUAGACUCAAGACAUUUGUUUUAUUAUUGUUUAUUAA